UUGGGGUUUCCGUUGCUUAAAGUACUAGCAAUUUGUUUUUUGGGGUGGUAUUGGUGGUGUUAGUUAAACUUUCUUGUAAUUUCUAUAAAUUUUGGUGUACUUUUUAACCUCCAGCUUCUUGUAUGGUUUAGGUUGAAACAAGGAAAUGUGUCAUUUAAUUACAGGUAUUACAAUAAUACGUUGCAGAAAGUGGAAGUUACGGAAGAUUUCUCUUGUCCAUUUUGUUUGGUUA